rnacentral:rRNA from 1 species
UCGGCUCAUCACAUCCUGGGGCUGAAGCCGGUCCCAAGGGUAUGGCUGUUCGCCAUUUAAAGUGGUACGCGAGCUGGGUUUAGAACGUCGUGAGACAGUUCGGUCCCUAUCUGCCGUGGGCGUUGGAGAAUUGAGGGAAGCUGCUCCUAGUACGAGAGGACCGGAGUGGACGAACCUCUGGUGUUCGGGUUGUCACGCCAGUGGCAUUGCCCGGUAGCUACGUUCGGACAGGAUAACCGCUGAAAGCAUCUAAGCGGGAAGCCCCUCCCAAGAUAAGUUCUCCCUGGGGACUUGAUCCCCCUGAAGGGCCGUUGAAGACUACAACGUUGAUAGGCUGGGUGUGGAAGCGCGGUAACGCGUUGAGCUAACCAGUACUAAUUGCCCGUGAGGCUUGACCAUAUAAUCCA